ACGAACGCUGGCGGCGUGCUUAACACAUGCAAGUCGAACGGAAAGGCCCUGCUUUUGUGGGGUGCUCGAGUGGCGAACGGGUGAGUAACACGUGAGUAACCUGCCCUUGACUUUGGGAUAACUUCAGGAAACUGGGGCUAAUACCGGAUAGGAGCUCCUGCUGCAUGGUGGGGGUUGGAAAGUUUCGGCGGUUGGGGAUGGACUCGCGGCUUAUCAGCUUGUUGGUGGGGUAGUGGCUUACCAAGGCUUUGACGGGUAGCCGGCCUGAGAGGGUGCCCGGCCACAUUGGGACUGAGAUACGGCCCAGACUCCUACGGGAGGCAGCAGUGGGGAAUAUUGCACAAUGGGCGGAAGCCUGAUGCAGCAACGCCGCGUGCGGGAUGACGGCCUUCGGGUUGUAAACCGCCUUCGCCUGUGACGAAGCGUGAGUGACGGUAAUGGGUAAAGAAGCACCGGCUAACUACGUG
rnacentral:rRNA from 1 species